GUAUAGCCUAUAGAACUGUGAGCCGAAUAAACCUCUCCUGUUUAUAAAUUACCCAGUCUUGGGUAUUUCUUUAUAGCAAUGUGAGAAUGGACUAAUACAGACAAUUGGUACCAAGGAGUGGGGCACUGACAGAAAGUUACC